UACGUAGGGUGCAAGCGUUGUCCGGAAUUAUUGGGCGUAAAGAGCUCGUAGGCGGCCUGUUGCGUCCGCUGUGAAAUCCCAGGGCCUCAACCCUGGGCGUGCAGUGGAUACGGGCAGGCUGGAGGCAGGCAGGGGAGAACGGAAUUCCCGGUGUAGCGGUGAAAUGCGCAGAUAUCGGAGGAACACCGGUGGCGAAGGCGGUUCUCUGGGCCUGUACUGACGCUGAGGAGCGAAGCGUGGGAGCGAACAGAUAGAUACCCGGUAGUCCAGACCGAAUGUACCUCCUGCCUACC
rnacentral:rRNA from 1 species